rnacentral:rRNA from 1 species
UACGUAGGGUGCGAGCGUUAAUCGGAAUUACUGGGCGUAAAGCGUGCGCAGGCGGUUGUGCAAGACAGAUGUGAAAUCCCCGGGCUUAACCUGGGAACUGCAUUUGUGACUGCAUAGCUAGAGUGUGUCAGAGGGGGGUAGAAUUCCACGUGUAGCAGUGAAAUGCGUAGAUAUGUGGAGGAAUACCGAUGGCGAAGGCAGCCCCCUGGGAUAACACUGACGCUCAUGCACGAAAGCGUGGGGAGCAAACAGG